GACGAACGCUGGCGGCGUGCUUAACACAUGCAAGUCGAACGGUGAAGCCUUCGGGUGGAUCAGUGGCGAACGGGUGAGUAACACGUGAGCAAUCUGCCCUUGACUCUGGGAUAACUUCGGGAAACCGGAGCUAAUACCGGAUAUGACAUCUGGCCGCAUGGUCUGGGUGUGGAAAGAUUUAUCGGUCAAGGAUGAGCUCGCGGCCUAUCAGCUUGUUGGUGGGGAAUGGCCCACCAAGGCGACGACGGGUAGCCGGCCUGAGAGGGCGACCGGCCACACUGGGACUGAGACACGGCCCAGACUCCUACGGGAGGCAGCAGUGGGGAAUAUUGCGCAAUGGGCGGAAGCCUGACGCAGCGACGCCGCGUGAGGGAUGAAGGCCUCGGUC
rnacentral:rRNA from 1 species